CAGGGACAAUCCUGUUCGAGUUGUAGAAAGCGAUCGGGACCCAUUCGCCCAUUCCGACUCGAGAAAUAUUGAGAAUUCGUAGCACAGUCAAAAUGGACGAACACAUAGUACGUGUUCAUUAACAGAAAGAAUAAAGUCGAAAAUCAUAAACGAACCAAACUAGAAAAAAGAGAAAAUUGAAUAAUAAAAGAAUAAACUGAGAGAGAGAGAGAGACGCUUUUACCUCUUUACUAUUUCAAUUGAUAAUACUGCCGAAUCGGAGCGGAACUAUUACAUUUUAACCCCACGUUUUUCGUUUUGUGUUUGUGAGGAGAAACUGGCCCGUCGCAGGACGAAGGGUGUAGAAAGAAGAACGGAUUUAACUUCCGUACCGAUUGCAGCCGAUUAUCGGAAUCAUUACGAAGAGUGUUUGACAUGAAGAUUCCUCUAAUUUUAAAAAGGCGAAAUGCCCAGCUAUGAUGGACCUGACAAAGAGUCUGUGCGGGAAAAGAAAAAGCUUAGUUCCAAAAUGGAAAAAAGUGAUAAAAAGAAACGGUCUAAAGAUUAUGAGAAAAAGCUGAAGAAAAAACGAAAGAACAGAGAGAGUUCAGAGAGCAAAAAGUUAGUCAAGCCCUUAGUCGAGUACUCGGAUGUAAGUUCUGAAGAAUUAUCCAGCCCUGAGGCUGGAGAAAUUCAAAGUGAAGACAGUGGACAUUUAGAAUUUGCUCCGGCUUUAAUACCAGAGCGUUUUCAUUAUCGACUCUCUGCAGAUUCCAGAGAUACAUAUUCACCGUCUCCUUCUGUUGAUUCUAGAAGGAAUUGGGACGGAAAUUUGGAAAGUAAAACAAAAAAACGAAAGCUAUCACCUUCUCCCAUAUCGUACAGUAGAUCAAAAGAAAAAAAGUCAAAGAAAUCUAGUAAAAAACACAGUCCUGGUCAUAAGAGAAAAAAAAGAAAGAAAUCUCGUGAAAAAAGUAGGGAAAGGAAUAAAUCGCCUAUCCAUGUGCCAGAUUUAUUUUUAAUACAUUUUAUGAAUAAUAGUCCACAUUCUUCACUUAAUGCCCCUAAUUAUUACGACGAACUUGAAGAAAUUAAACAGUCAAAACGAAUAGAAAAUAAUAAUGGAUCAUCUUUUCCUUCAGCGGUGUCACCCCGUUCUGCAAGUGAUAUAGACUUAAAAAAUACAAACCACCCUUCUCCCCAUACUCCACCCACAGAAGAACAUCCACCUCCUCAGCCAAGCUUUUCAUCCAAUAGACGAAGUGCUCCUCAACCAGUUUCACCCUCUCGAAGUUUAGAAGAAGGUGAGAGACCUCAUCGAACACCUAGUCCAUUUGGGCCGGAAUCAAGCCCUGAUAUGGGUAGGGACAGAGACAAAAAAAGAGACAGUUCAUUAAAAAGGCAUCGAGAUUCCCCAGUUUUAAAGUCUUCAUCCUCAAACCAUAGACAUUCUGAAAAAGUUUCUGACAUGAAAAAACACAAAAGGAAGUCUCCUUCUAGAUAUGAUGUUGAUAAGCAUUCAAGAUCUUCAAGGAGACAUUCUCCAUCUCCAAGAUCGCCGAUUUCUAGGCCAAGGAGGCAGACUCCUUCUUAUGAAAGAGAAGACCGGAGGUGGACUCGGGACAAAAUGUCUCCUAGUAGAUAUAACAGACACGAAUCACCACACAGCCGAAAGAGGAGAAAGGAAAGAGAGAGCGGUGAAAAGAAGAGAGAGCGUCUUAGGGACAAACAUAAGAAAAGACGGCAUCACGAUAGCCGGUCCAAAUCCAAGAGCCCAUUGAGGAUGUUGACAAUUCGAGUGAGAAGGUCAGUAUCGAGGUCAAGGAGUUGGAAACGGACUAGAUCAAGAAGUCCCCCGAAUAUGUUAAGCCACGGUCGAUCACCUGUCCGUCAUAGCAGAAGUCCUCCAAUUGCUAGACAUAGUCGUUCCCCAAUGCAUAAGAGAAGCUUGAAGAGCCGUCCUUCGCGAUCUCCUUCCCAUAGUCCAUCUAGUCUUAGAAAAGUCCGUGAAAUAUCUGCUAAAGUCAAAAUGAGUGAGACAUCACUGUUUGCAGAACUUGUCAAAGACAGAAAUAUGCGAGAGCUUGCCAUGAAACGUUUGGCUGAACUUGCAGAAAAAAAAGAGACAGUUGAAGAAAAUUCAAAUUCGGUCGAAGCGAAGGAAGAACCAGAGGUCAUUUCUCAAUUUGAUAAAUGUGAAGAUAUUCAAGGCGAAGAUGAAAUAACUGUUUGCGAAAUGAUGGACUCAAAUGAUGCCACUAGAGACGAACUGAAUCCUCUGACAUCAACAGUAUUCAUUCCACCUCCGAUCCCUCCACCGGAUUGCCUUCCUCCUGAAAUACCUCCUCCGCCUAUUCCUCCUCUAGAGCUAAUGCAGCCAGUGGAUGAAGCUCCUCCGAUCACUUCACCGCAGGGUAGAGUACCAAAGAAUCUCCAUCCUCCCAAACUUCCUAUGCCUCCUGGUAUUAAUCAAAACGAUCUAGAAAGCAUAGAUUCACCUCCAAGUGGAUCUCCCAGUCCUUUCUCUGACAAACCUGUUCCUCAAGGGAAAAAGAGCAUUAGAGACCUUCCUCUUCCAGCUGUAGCUGGUGCCGAAGAGCUCAGUGCUGAAGAGGAUAUUAGUAGUACACCACCUCACAGUUUUACAAAAAAAAUGGCCACUCAACCCAGUAGCCCAGCACUUCAACAAAGAAUGAGAGCUGUGAGUGGGCAUAUCGCAAGAAAAUCAGUGGGACGACUGACACGACCUAAGAUUCUCUAUAAAGGAAAAACUAAACCAACUCCUGCUAGUAAAACCUGGGGAGAAAGAUGUGUGGACGUUUUUGAAGUAAUAGCUCUCAUAGGGGAAGGCACCUACGGUCAAGUCUAUAAAGCUAAAGACCGACAGCAAGAGCUUGUUGCCCUUAAGAAAGUGCGUCUUGAAAAUGAGAAAGAGGGAUUUCCUGUUACGGCUGUACGUGAAAUUAAAAUUCUGAGACAAUUGAACCACAAAAACAUAGUAAAUCUGAGGGAAAUAGUUACGGACAAGCAGGAUGCACUUGACUUUCGUAAGGAUAAAGGUUCUUUCUAUCUUGUUUUUGAAUACAUGGAUCACGAUCUUCACGGGCUGCUUGAAUCUGGUAUGGUAGAUUUCGCAGAACAGCACAAUGCUAGUAUAAUGAGGCAGCUUUUAGAAGGAUUGAACUACUGCCACAAAAAAAACUUUUUACAUAGGGAUAUAAAAUGUAGCAAUAUUCUAAUGAAUAAUAGGGGUGAGGUCAAACUGGCUGACUUUGGCCUGGCUCGAUUGUAUAAUGCUGAGGACAGGCAAAGACCUUAUACAAACAAAGUAAUAACAUUAUGGUAUAGACCUCCAGAACUGUUGUUAGGGGAGGAAAGGUAUGGACCAGCGAUUGAUAUCUGGUCGUGUGGAUGUAUACUUGGUGAAUUGUUCCUAAAAAAACCACUUUUCCAGCAGAGUAACGAGAUGAUGCAGUUAGAGAUAAUUUCAAGACUUUGUGGAACACCGACCCCCGCUGUCUGGCCACUUGUGAUAGAACUCCCUCUGUGGCAUUUGCUCAAGUCAAAGAAAAUUCAUAGAAGAAGGUUGAGGGAUGAGUUCGCAUUUAUGCCUUCUUCAGCUCUGGAUCUCCUGGAUAGAAUGUUGGUAUUAGAUCCAAACAAGAGGAUAACAGCAGAAAUGGCACUCAAAUCAGCCUGGCUGAGAAAUAUUGUUCCAGAAAAGAUGGCACCGCCACAGCUUCCAACUUGGCAGGAUUGCCACGAGUUAUGGAGCAAAAAACAAAGGAAACAGAUGAAAGGGCUUAAUGAACAGCAGCAAGCUCUUCAAAGAGGCCACCGAGGCGAUGAUAACUGUGAUAAUGCUGGAGGAUCUCCAAAUAAAUCAAGAAUAGAUCGCCUUUGUCUAGACAGGGAGAUCCAGUUACACAUCAACUAGUCGAAAGUUUACGUACAGAGUUAAGGACUGCAGCAAGUAACAAUGGGAGUGGGAAACUUGACCCAAAGCAAAUGGUGUUUUAUCCACAGGGUGAUGCUGUAAGUGGAUCAAAUAUUUGUGGAACUCUAUCGUCAGGGGUUCUAGCAACUGAAGGUGUGCGAUUAACACUGUCAACCCUGAUGUCAAGGUUCAACCAGACUGCAGCAGCAGCGGUUUUACAUCCUCACAACAAUAACUGAAUUAAUUCUAAUUAAACCAAAACAAAAAAUAGUUUUGUCUUUAUAAUUUGAACACAAGAAGAACUGUGAUGGUUAGAUUAGACUCCUCAAUAACAUAAAGACAUUUCUUCUCGAGAUUUUUUCCUGUUUCGAGUGAUUUAUUUGUCUGGUGUUUCCUAUGGAUUAUAGCUGUACCUUUUAUCCAUUUAUUCCUCCAUUAGAAUAUAGAUUAUUUUGUACUUAACAUUUACAACCAACAACAGAACAAAGUGCUAUUUUAUGUAAAUAUAUAUAUGUUGAAAUGUAAAUAAUACUUUAAGAAUUUGCCAAUAAAUUGUAUACCUUGUGGGGAUAAA
rnacentral:misc_RNA from 1 species